rnacentral:lncRNA from 1 species
AAAAAGAAGAAAGAUGUGUCUUUCCAUCUUUGAAAUGUGAGCUUUGAGGACACCUCUCUGAACUUCUGAGAGCUUGGGAAGGUAAACUCACCAUCAAGAUAAUCCACACUGGACAUAACACAUGGGGGAAAGGCUAAGAAUUUGGGCUCUGAGCAGAGGCCGAUCACAAACAACCUCCAGAAAACGGCCUGCCUCAAAGAGGAAU